ACGCGCAUAGCGGGUUAUUUAACAUGUGCACCACAUUUUUUAUGUUAUUUUGAAUAGACAGAAAAUAUAUUACAGUCAUUUCUUAUAAUUUAAUUCUAAAUUCCAUUUUUUAAACCGUAGAAAACCAUGAAAAAAGUUGAUGACGUCACGGUAACAUGACUAAAUUAUGUCUAUGGGCUCAUAACAAAAUAACGUCAGCCAAUCAGAAGAC
rnacentral:lncRNA from 1 species